AGUAGAGGAGCCUCUCGCAGCCUACAACUCCCAUCAUCCCCUCUGGUGGCUCUCCUCGCCUGGGGAUGACGGGAGCUGUAGUCCGUGGACACCCCGGGACUCAGAAAGGCAAGAGGGGCCCUACGGAAUUGUUCUGCCCUCCUUGGAAGGCUGCUAUGACAACUUGGUGAGGCCUUUAGGGACAAAAUGGGUCAGAUUCAGACAGAGCUGGAUGCCACCGUUGGAGCAAGUCCCGCGGAGCACCUGCUCUGAGCAGCCCUGUUUAGGGAAGUUUUCAAUGUUUGAUGUUCUAUUGUAUUUUUAAUAUUUUGUUAAAAAAUACUGAAAUAUACUCAGAGUCGCAAAGUGAUUUCAUGCUCUUUAUUCAGCUCAUAGUGGUGAGGAGGAAUGAAUGAAAGUCCCCUCAAAGUAUCUGCUUUAUAUACAUUAUUUACACAAUGGGCUGCACAUGAUUGGCUAAUUCUGGAAUUCUACUGUAAGCCAAUCAGGUUGUGGAGUCACUUCUAUCUGGAGCAUGAUUGGGUGGUUCCUGCCAACCAAUCAUACUGCUGCAUUGUUCUAGGACCAAUCAGACUGCUGCAUUCUGAAUCCUAUUGUUCUUGGACCAAUCAGACUGCUGCAUUUUGGAUCCUAUUCUAGGACCAAUCAGACUGCUGCAGUUUGGAUCCUAUUCAACUCAGUACAUAACAAAUACAUUUGUCCAAAAACCAGAAGCCUUUUUGUUAGGUAUAAUAGGUGAAGAGAUACCAAGAGAGGAUAAAAGACUUUUUAUGUCUGCAACGACGGCAGGGAGAAUGCUACAACCCAGAGAUGGAAGGAAGGAGAAGCACCAACCAAAGAAGAAUGGCAGGUGAAACUGAUGGAGUACGCAGAGAUGGCAAAACUGACAGGGAAGCUCAGAAACCAGGAAGAUCAAGUAUUUUCUAAAGACUGGAGUAAAUUUGUAAUUUAUUUAAAAGACCACUGUAAACAGUUAAAAUCUUUGGCAGGGAUGUAAUGACAUUUGUAAUGUGGAAUUAUUUGUGGUAAUUAUGGUUAUAUGAUAAAUGGAUAAGGGUAAAACAUGCAGUAAACUUAAAUCUAAAUAUGGAACCCAUGGAGGGAGG